AUUUGCUUCCACAGCUAAAAGAUUUCUUGUUGGAGACCUAAAACCCUCACACAUUUCUCUUCAAAAUCAUCUACUUCACAGAUCCAUCACCUCAAAAAUCUCAGCAGACCAACACAAUUUCACAGUCGCUUACCUCAUAAACUCAUGUGGGUUGUCCCCAGAAGGCGCAAUUUUAUCAUCCAAAUGGGUAGAGUUGCAAUCCUCACAAGGAGCAGACUCUGUUUUGGCCCUUCUGAGCAAAUAUGGACUCUCUGAAACCCAGAUCUCAAAGGUUGUCAGGUCACGCCCUACUAUUCUUGUAGCUGAUCCUGAGAAAAUCCUUUCGCCCAAGCUUGAGUUUUUCAGCUCUGUUGUAGUUUCAAGGGAAGACCUUGCGAGAAUUCUGUGUUUUAAUCCCCACCUUUUGUUAAGAAGCUUGGAGAAUCAGAUUAUACCCACUUAUAAUUUUCUCAGGAGUCUGAUUUCCGAGGAAAAUGUAGUUUCUGUUCUGAAGCGCAGUUCAUGGAUUUUCCGGGAAAAUCGCAGAAAGAAUGUGGUCCCCAAUAUUGAGCUUUUGAGGGAAUUGGGUAUGCCCCAAUCAUGCAUUGCUCUGUUGGUAGCUCACAACACUGAGGUCUUGAUACACAAGCAUGAAAAGUUUGCUGCAGCUGUGGAAGAGGUUAAGGCAAUGGAAUUUGAUAUGAAGAAAUCAACUUUUGUGUUGGCACUAAGAGCAUUGUGUGGAGAGAGCAGUAAGUCCAUAUGGAAUCGAAGCCGUGAAAUUUACAAGCGGAGUUGGGGUUGGUCUGAUAAUGAUGUGGUCUCUGCAUUCAGGAAGAAUCCACAGUGCAUGACUAUGUCUGAGAAGAAAAUAAUGGAGGUAAUGGAUUUUUUUGUGAACAAGAUGGGAUAUUCUUCAGGAGUGAUUGCCACAUACCCUUUGGUUUUGUGUUUCAGUUUGGAGAAGAGAAUUAUUCCAAGAUGUUCAGUUGUUAAAGUUUUGUUGUUGAAGGGGUUGAUAGAUGAAGACUUUAGUUUGUCUUCUGUGUUGUUGCCUCCACCGCAUAAGUUCUUGGAGAGGUUUGUGACCAGAUAUAUAAACCAAUUACCUAUUUUGUGGGAUGUGUAUCAUCUAAAAUUGGACGUCAAGGAUGUGUGAUCUUUCUGCACUGUACUAAAAGUUUUGUGUCCUUAAGGUUUCAUUUAUUUGAUAAAGAUGAAC
rnacentral:lncRNA from 1 species